GGGGUCAUUUCGAUAAAGCAAUACUGGCAUCGUUGAGCGUUUAAAUUUUUAUUAUUUUUCUAGCGCAGACGCUCAUAAGCUCAUAAAGGAACGUGCAAAAAGUUAACUUUACGUGUGAGACUGCAGCUAACGUGUCCGUUUUGCCUGAAAACGUAAGUUAAUAAAUAAAUGAGAUCUUUUUCAUCUUUGAUCUAAAUAUUGUUAUGAGGGUCUAGAGUGUUUACGCUGCAGAAAACUUUGAUGAGAAACACUACGAUCCGCAAACAAACAGAUGAGGAAGAGGAGGAUGAUGAUGGUCCAGCGUAUACAAUGAGAAAGUAAUCAAGAGAAGUGUCAUCGCUGAAGAAAUGGCAGAUGUCCUCAGACACUUGUGAACACUGAGCAGUGCUUGGAGUCCAAGACAGUGGACAUCAUAUUUGUUAUACCGGUACUUCUCUGAUUGGACUAGCAAGGAGCAGUUAGAGCCAAUGAGAAAGUUGGUGCAAAAAUGAAAGCUCACAAAAACAAUAAUAUCACCGGAUUAAGAUGCGGAAAGACACAGUUACACCACCACAACCAUAAAUCCUGAGCGAUUUGAAAAUGAGCAACAACCAAGGAACAGUAAUCAUUGUUUCACUCAAAAAUUAUCCAUGGUAACAGUUGUAAAUGAUUAGAUAAUUAGAUAAAAGUACAAAAUGUUUAAUUUCCAAACUUUGCCAUUUACCAAUGUGUUGUUCAAAACACUUACAAUAAGGUAUCAUUAGUUAACAUUAGUAAAUGUUGAAAUUAACUAAA